rnacentral:rRNA from 1 species
UACGUAGGUGACCAGCGUUGUCCGGAUUUACUGGGCGUAAAGAGCGCGCAGGCGGUCGUUCAAGUCGAGUGUGAAAGCCCCCGGCUCAACUGGGGAGGGUCAUUCGAUACUGAUCGACUGGAAGGCAGGAGAGGGAAGCGGAAUUCCCGGUGUAGUGGUGAAAUGCGUAGAUAUCGGAAGGAACAUCAGUGGCGAAAGCGACUUCCUGGACCAAUACUGACGCUCAUGUGCGAAAGCGUGGGGAGCAAACAGG